GGGCUGGUGUUGUUGGUCAAUCUUUUUUGAGGCAGUGUGGCUUUUCUGGAGUGUUGAUGGGGCUAACAGUGUUUCUUUGAAGCAAAGGAGGACUUCCUGAGGGCAGACAGGACUGGGAGGUCCACACCACGAUGGUAGCAGAUUUCACUUGGUCAUGCAGAGCUUGCUCUGGUGUUUUUAGGCUGUGGGGUUCUUGCAGGGGGUUGGCGGUGUUGGGCAGCUGCUCUUCAGGGGUGCAUCACCCCCUGGGGGCUGGAGCAGCUAUCUGGGUCACUGAGAACCUAAGAGGCUCUUCCCUAGGGUAGCCAAACUCAGAAGGACAGCCUGAGAAUGUAGGCGGAUCUUUUCACAAUCUGGCCGAGCUUGUUGCAGCUUUUCUGGGCUGCAGGGGCUCUUCCAGGGUGCUGGUGGUGCUGAGCAGCUCUUCCGUGGGAGUGGGGCACCCCUUGGGGGAUUGGGCAGGUAGUAGCAGGGCCACUGGAAACCCAAGAGGCUCCUCCCCAGGGCAUCCCGACUCAGAAAGACCAUCUGAGAUCUUUUCCCAGCUCGACCGAGCUUGUUGCAGCUUUUCUGGGCUGCAGGGGGUCCUGCCUGGAGCUGGCAGUCCUAUGCAGAUGAUCCACUAGGGCACCCCCUGGGGGCUUGGGCAGGUAGCAGGGCCGUUGGAAACCGAAGAGGCUCCUCCCUGGGGCAGGCUGACUCAGAAAAACUGUCUUAGAUCUUUUCCCGACUCGGCCACGCUUGUUGCAGCUUUUCUGGGCUGCAGGGGGUCCUGCCUGGAGCUGGCAGUCCUAUGCAGCUGAUCCACUAGGGCACCCCCUGGGGGCUUGGGUGGGUAGCAGGGCCGUUGGAAACCGAAGAGGCUCCUCCCUGGGGCAGGCUGACUCAGAAAAACUGUCUUAGAUCUUUUCCCGACUCGGCCACGCUUGUUGCAGCUUUUCUGGGCUGCAGGGGGUCCUGCCUGGAGCUGGCAGUCUUAUGCAGCUGAUCCACUAGGGCACCCCCUGGGGGCUUGGGUGGGUAGCAGGGCCAUUGGAAACCGAAGAGGCCUCUCCCCGGGGCAGCCCAACUCCGAAAAACCGUCCAAGAAUUAGGCAGAUCUAUUCACUGCCUGGCUAGGCUUGUUCUAGCUUUUCUGGGCUGCAUGCCUUUUCUCGGGGGCUGAUGGUGUUUGGUGCUGCUCUGCAGAAGUGUAGCCCC
rnacentral:lncRNA from 1 species